GUACAGAAGGUGCAAGCGUUAUUCAGGUUACUGGGCGUAAAGGGCCGUAGGCUGGUCGUUUGAAACGUGGUAGGCCAAAGUUCUGGAAAGUAAUUAUUCAGAAGAUUCUCUAAAGAUUUUCGGCUUGAGUUAGAGAGAGAUGGGCCGUAUACGCAGUGUAAUAGUUAAAUGUUUCGAUAUUGCGUGGACGACCAACGGCGAAAGCAGCCUUCAUCUUAACUGACGCUAAGGGCGAAGGUAGGUCUUGAACCG
rnacentral:rRNA from 1 species